CACCUACCUGCAGGGAAACAUGAGAAAUGUUUCCCACAGGAAAUUAAAAUUCAUAAGUCAUGCAUACCCACCUAAGCCCAUGCCAGGAAGGAGAAAUAAAAGACUGGAGAAGGGGAAGGAAGCAGGGAUGGGAAGCAGCUGUAGCAGGAGCAGUUUUCAAUAACCAAUGGCUUGGACUUAGAUUUCCAAGCCUCAGGACAUUAUCUGAAGAGGGGGAAACCAAGCCUUGAAUGGAGAAGCCCUAUCAGGAUGAGUGGUCACUCCAUGGGAUGGGUACAUCAGGUCUGCACCUCUUUCAUCCAUCUUUCUGGAGGCAGCCCUGGACUAGGAGAUGGAUCUCUUCCCUGGGUGGCCCAGUUCUCAGAGAAGAGCCACACUGCUGUGGAGAAGAAAAGGAGAGGUACUAACAUCACUGUUGUAAAGAAGAGAUAAAAAUACAAUUGCUUUGGGAUUUUUUAUUUUUCUAACUGUCUGGUUAUUUAAUUAAUCUCCUGUUCACUUUCUGGUUUUUCCAUGUUUUUUUUUUUCCUCUGUGUUUGUUUGAGGGUAUUUUUCCCCUCACAGACUUCCUCAUGCUUCCAAACACCUGUUCCCUUGGGCCUCACCUAGAGGGAAGGGACUUACAUGCUCCUUUGUUUUGUUUAUAGCAGUGUUCAUAGCUGCACUUCACCAAAGCAGGGGCAAAAGCUCUCCCCAAAUCACAGCAACUGCUAAGCCUCCAGAGGAAGCAGCAUUUCUGCUCAUCUUGACACAGCCAAUUUAAUCAGACGUCUCACAGAAAAAUAUUUUUUUUUUCCCU
rnacentral:lncRNA from 1 species